rfam:Schistosoma mansoni strain Puerto Rico chromosome 4, complete genome
GCACUGCUGAGGAAUCCCAUAAUAGGACGAAACAGCCGUCCAGUAC